GUCAGUAACCCAGCCCUAAAGGGACUGGGCUUGCAAGAGUAAUCAAGCAAGCCGUACUGACCAGACCACCCUGAGUUUACUCUCAUGGUAGCCGUUAUUUGAGUCACGACACCCUGGAAUGCGUAGCUAGUUCCCUGCUCUGUCGCUGGCAAUUAAACAGUUUUAAGGUCACUGAAACAGUGUUGCCAGCCUAACAAGCUCUUAUAACAGGUCGAAGCUAACAUUAC
rfam:Anabaena sp. 90 chromosome chANA01, complete sequence.